AGCUUUGUGCAGAAGCAGUAUCAUAGCCAAUGAGGUUUAUCCAAUGUGUGAUUAUUGCUAAUUGUAAAUGAUUUCAAAAUAUUUUUCAUGGACUGUAUGUGUGUCAUGCAAAAAUGUUUUCUAACAUAUAAGUAUU